rnacentral:rRNA from 1 species
CAGAGGUUACUGCUAUCGAGAUUCGACUAAGCCAUGCGAGUUGAAUGUUCUUCGUGAACAUGGCGGACUGCUCAGUAACACGUGGACAACCUACCCUUGGGUCCGGCAUAAUCCUGGGAAACUGGGAAUAAUUCCGGAUAGGUCACCGAUGCUGGAAUGCGCGGUGGCCGAAAGCUCCGGCGCCCGAGGAUGGGUCUGCGGCCUAUCAGGGUUGUAGUGGGUGUAACGUACCUACUAGCCUACGACGGGUACGGGUUGUGAGAGCAAGAGCCCGGAGAUGGAUUCUGAGACACGAAUCCAGGCCCUACGGGGUGCAGCAGGCGCGAAAACUUUACAAUGCGGGAAACCGUGAUAAGGGGAUCUCGAGUGCCAGCAUAUAAUGUUGGCUGUCCAGAUGCCUAAAAAGCAUCUGUUAGCAAGGGCCGGGCAAGACCGGUGCCAGCCGCCGCGGUAACACCGGCGGCCCGAGUGGUAACCGCUAUUAUUGGGUCUAAAGGGUCUGUAGCCGGCCAGGUAAGUCCCUUGGGAAAUCUGGCAGCUCAACUGUCAGGCUGCUAGGGGAUACUGUUUGGCUUGGGACCGGGAGAGGUGAGAGGUACCUUGGGGGUAGGGGUGAAAUCUUGUGAUCCUCGAGGGACCACCAGUGGCGAAGGCGUCUCACCAGAACGGGUCCGACGGUAAGGGACGAAAGCUAGGGGCACGAACCGGAUUAGAUACCCGGGUAGUCCUAGCCGUAAACGAUGCUCGCUAGGUGUCAGUCACGGUGCGACCGUGAUUGGUGCCGUAGGGAAGCCGUGAAGCGAGCCACCUGGGAAGUAUGGCCGCAAGGCUGAAACUUAAAGGAAUUGGCGGGGGAGCACUACAASGGGUGGAGCCUGCGGUUUAAUUG